rnacentral:rRNA from 1 species
AAAUUGAAGAGUUUGAUCAUGGCUCAGAUUGAACGCUGGCGGCAGGCCUAACACAUGCAAGUCGAACGGUAACAGGAAACAGCUUGCUGUUUCGCUGACGAGUGGCGGACGGGUGAGUAAUGUCUGGGAAACUGCCUGAUGGAGGGGGAUAACUACUGGAAACGGUAGCUAAUACCGCAUAAUGUCGCAAGACUAAAGAGGGGGACCUUCGGGCCUCUUGCCAUCGGAUGUGCCCAGAUGGGAUUAGCUAGUAGGUGGGGUAACGGCUCACCUAGGCGACGAUCCCUAGCUGGUCUGAGAGGAUGACCAGCCACACUGGAACUGAGACACGGUCCAGACUCCUACGGGAGGCAGCAGUGGGGAAUAUUGCACAAUGGGCGCAAGCCUGAUGCA